UUUCCAGACUCCUACGGGAGGCAGCAGUGAGGAAUAUUGGUCAAUGGGCGCGAGCCUGAACCAGCCAAGUCGCGUGAGGGAAGACGGUCCUAUGGAUUGUAAACCUCUUUUGUCGGGGAGCAAAAGACGCCACGUGUGGCGUUCCGAGAGUACCCGAAGAAAAAGCAUCGGCUAACUCCGUGCCAGCAGCCGCGGUAAUACGGAGGAUGCGAGCGUUAUCCGGAUUUAUUGGGUUUAAAGGGUGCGUAGGCGGGAUGCCAAGUCAGCGGUAAAAAUGCGGUGCUCAACGCCGGCGAGCCGUUGAAACUGGCGUUCUUGAGUGGGCGAGAAGUAUGCGGAAUGCGUGGUGUAGCGGUGAAAUGCAUAGAUAUCACGCAGAACUCCGAUUGCGAAGGCAGCAUACCGGCGCUCAACUGACGCUCAUGCACGAAAGUGUGGGUAUCGAACAGGAUUAGAUACCCUAGUAACC
rnacentral:rRNA from 1 species